UUAAGCGACUAAGCGUACACGGUGGAUGCCCUGGCAGUCAGAGGCGAUGAAGGACGUGCUAAUCUGCGAUAAGCGUCGGUAAGGUGAUAUGAACCGUUAUAACCGGCGAUUUCCGAAUGGGGAAACCCAGUGUGAUUCGUCACACUAUCAUUAACUGAAUCCAUAGGUUAAUGAGGCGAACCGGGGGAACUGAAACAUCUAAGUACCCCGAGGAAAAGAAAUCAACCGAGAUUCCCCCAGUAGCGGCGAGCGAACGGGGAGCAGCCCAGAGCCUGAAUCAGUGUGUGUGUUAGUGGAAGCGUCUGGAAAGGCGCGCGAUACAGGGUGACAGCCCCGUACACAAAAAUGCACAUGCUGUGAGCUCGAUGAGUAGGGCGGGACACGUGGUAUCCUGUCUGAAUAUGGGGGGACCAUCCUCCAAGGCUAAAUACUCCUGACUGACCGAUAGUGAACCAGUACCGUGAGGGAAAGGCGAAAAGAACCCCGGCGAGGGGAGUGAAAAAGAACCUGAAACCGUGUACGUACAAGCAGUGGGAGCACGCUUAGGCGUGUGACUGCGUACCUUUUGUAUAAUGGGUCAGCGACUUAUAUUCUGUAGCAAGGUUAACCGAAUAGGGGAGCCGAAGGGAAACCGAGUCUUAACUGGGCGUUAAGUUGCAGGGUAUAGACCCGAAACCCGGUGAUCUAGCCAUGGGCAGGUUGAAGGUUGGGUAACACUAACUGGAGGACCGAACCGACUAAUGUUGAAAAAUUAGCGGAUGACUUGUGGCUGGGGGUGAAAGGCCAAUCAAACCGGGAGAUAGCUGGUUCUCCCCGAAAGCUAUUUAGGUAGCGCCUCGUGAAUUCAUCUCCGGGGGUAGAGCACUGUUUCGGCAAGGGGGUCAUCCCGACUUACCAACCCGAUGCAAACUGCGAAUACCGGAGAAUGUUAUCACGGGAGACACACGGCGGGUGCUAACGUCCGUCGUGAAGAGGGAAACAACCCAGACCGCCAGCUAAGGUCCCAAAGUCAUGGUUAAGUGGGAAACGAUGUGGGAAGGCCCAGACAGCCAGGAUGUUGGCUUAGAAGCAGCCAUCAUUUAAAGAAAGCGUAAUAGCUCACUGGUCGAGUCGGCCUGCGCGGAAGAUGUAACGGGGCUAAACCAUGCACCGAAGCUGCGGCAGCGACGCUUAUGCGUUGUUGGGUAGGGGAGCGUUCUGUAAGCCUGUGAAGGUGUACUGUGAGGUAUGCUGGAGGUAUCAGAAGUGCGAAUGCUGACAUAAGUAACGAUAAAGCGGGUGAAAAGCCCGCUCGCCGGAAGACCAAGGGUUCCUGUCCAACGUUAAUCGGGGCAGGGUGAGUCGACCCCUAAGGCGAGGCCGAAAGGCGUAGUCGAUGGGAAACAGGUUAAUAUUCCUGUACUUGGUGUUACUGCGAAGGGGGGACGGAGAAGGCUAUGUUGGCCGGGCGACGGUUGUCCCGGUUUAAGCGUGUAGGCUGGUUUUCCAGGCAAAUCCGGAAAACUAAGGCUGAGGCGUGAUGACGAGGCACUACGGUGCUGAAGCAACAAAUGCCCUGCUUCCAGGAAAAGCCUCUAAGCAUCAGGUAACAUCAAAUCGUACCCCAAACCGACACAGGUGGUCAGGUAGAGAAUACCAAGGCGCUUGAGAGAACUCGGGUGAAGGAACUAGGCAAAAUGGUGCCGUAACUUCGGGAGAAGGCACGCUGAUAUGUAGGUGAAGUCCCUCGCGGAUGGAGCUGAAAUCAGUCGAAGAUACCAGCUGGCUGCAACUGUUUAUUAAAAACACAGCACUGUGCAAACACGAAAGUGGACGUAUACGGUGUGACGCCUGCCCGGUGCCGGAAGGUUAAUUGAUGGGGUCAGCGCAAGCGAAGCUCUUGAUCGAAGCCCCGGUAAACGGCGGCCGUAACUAUAACGGUCCUAAGGUAGCGAAAUUCCUUGUCGGGUAAGUUCCGACCUGCACGAAUGGCGUAAUGAUGGCCAGGCUGUCUCCACCCGAGACUCAGUGAAAUUGAACUCGCUGUGAAGAUGCAGUGUACCCGCGGCAAGACGGAAAGACCCCGUGAACCUUUACUAUAGCUUGACACUGAACAUUGAGCCUUGAUGUGUAGGAUAGGUGGGAGGCUUUGAAGUGUGGACGCCAGUCUGCAUGGAGCCGACCUUGAAAUACCACCCUUUAAUGUUUGAUGUUCUAACGUUGACCCGUAAUCCGGGUUGCGGACAGUGUCUGGUGGGUAGUUUGACUGGGGCGGUCUCCUCCUAAAGAGUAACGGAGGAGCACGAAGGUUGGCUAAUCCUGGUCGGACAUCAGGAGGUUAGUGCAAUGGCAUAAGCCAGCUUGACUGCGAGCGUGACGGCGCGAGCAGGUGCGAAAGCAGGUCAUAGUGAUCCGGUGGUUCUGAAUGGAAGGGCCAUCGCUCAACGGAUAAAAGGUACUCCGGGGAUAACAGGCUGAUACCGCCCAAGAGUUCAUAUCGACGGCGGUGUUUGGCACCUCGAUGUCGGCUCAUCACAUCCUGGGGCUGAAGUAGGUCCCAAGGGUAUGGCUGUUCGCCAUUUAAAGUGGUACGCGAGCUGGGUUUAGAACGUCGUGAGACAGUUCGGUCCCUAUCUGCCGUGGGCGCUGGAGAAUUGAGGGGGGCUGCUCCUAGUACGAGAGGACCGGAGUGGACGCAUCACUGGUGUUCGGGUUGUCAUGCCAAUGGCACUGCCCGGUAGCUAAAUGCGGAAGAGAUAAGUGCUGAAAGCAUCUAAGCACGAAACUUGCCCCGAGAUGAGUUCUCCCUGACUCCUUGAGAGUCCUGAAGGAACGUUGAAGACGACGACGUUGAUAGGCCGGGUGUGUAAGCGCAGCGAUGCGUUGAGCUAACCGGUACUAAUGAACCGUGAGGCUUAACCUU
rnacentral:rRNA from 1 species